AACAAAAUGACCAAAU
rnacentral:sRNA from 1 species